GCCGCUUUAGCCGCAUCAUGAUGUCGUCUAUAGUUUGACCUUUGAAGGUUACGUGGAACCCUGCAUUAUCGGUGGCUGGUGUGGUUGGCAUUUUCCCAACGGGAGAAUCCAGGCGAGUCGGAGCUCGAUGACCUUCGUUUCUACAAGGGCAGAGGGGAGCCUCACAAACAGUUCUGUACAUAAUGUGUCUCAGACAUACGUCUGGCUGUCGAUAAUGUAAUGGUGCUCCCCUCACACCAUAAACAACUGUGGCCGCCGACCAAAGCGGAUAAUACUGGUACUACGGGAGACCGAAAUCCAAGCCCGCAUCCAGGGCUGCAAAGUCGAAAAACGACAUGUAGGAACCGGUUGCUUUCGGUCAAUUGAGGUUGAACUCGUAGUGGAUAGGGAAACAAGGAUUUGGAGCUGUUGCAACACCAUCUUCAGAGCAUCCUGGGUGAGCUGACCUUCAUACUUAACAGUAAAGGGCAUUGGGUGAAGCCGCGGGAAAAAUUAUUAUUGUAAAUUAUUUGUAACUCUUCGUCGUCAUUCCGGCCUGUACCCGGGCGUCAUUACUUCAGUCUUUUCUCCAUAACGUGGAGGUUAUAUUGUACAGUUUAGAGCCGCUUAAGGUCACGGAGGAUAAUCCCGCGCAAUC